UACGGGGGGGGCAAGCGUUGUUCGGAAUUACUGGGCGUAAAGGGCUUGUAGGUGGCCAACUAAGUCAGACGUGAAAUCCCUCGGCUUAACCGGGGAACUGCGUCUGAUACUGGAUGGCUUGAGUGUGGGAGAGGGAUGCGGAAUUCCAGGUGUAGCGGUGAAAUGCGUAGAUAUCAGGAGGAACACCGGUGGCGAAGGCGGCAUCCUGGACCAAUACUGACGCUGAGGAGCGAAAGCCAGGGGAGCAAACGGG
rnacentral:rRNA from 1 species